GGAACUUGAGGACGCCUGCCUGGGAAAGUGGCGCCCGGCUUCCGGGGCCCUGCGGGAAAAUGGCCUUUUCCUUGGAUUUUGCAACUCUGAUUCGGCGUGCACGAUUGGAAAUCGUGCAGGUCACCUACAGUGAGCCCAGUCCUGCCGGUGCUGCACUUCUAUAGCCUUCGUAAUCUCGACACCCAGUGUGGAGCUCCAACUCACAACCCCAAGAUCAAGAAUCGCAUGCUCCACCGACAGAGCCAGCCGGUGCCCCGAUCUUGCCAAUCUUAAAGAAAGCUAAAGCGGGGAUUUACCAAACACAAGACUUGUUUACCAUUGCAGAAAACUCCUAUCACCAAUGGUAAAGCUGCUAGUGGUAUUCGACUCACUGACUUAACACCUCACUUCCAUCUACACCCGCAGCUGUUACAGAGAGGGAGAGAUUCCGCGUUCGGGGGCAAACAUCCAACCACUCCAUUGCAGCUCUAGGUAUUCACAGGCAAGCCAAGGUAUGAGUUCGUAACACAUUACUUUGCUUUCCUUUCUUCUUUAUAUUAAAGUCUUUAAAAUAUAUAAGAAUUGGGUGUGUUGGUAGGUAAUAUUAUCCACGAGUUGCAUUUCAGAAUAGUAAAGAGGAUGUUUAAAAACAUUUGCUAUGAAAAGGGACCAUUGGGCUGUGGUAGCAUUGAGAGCAGUUGCUGGCGACCUCUGGUGGCACACUCGAGCAUUGCUUCACUCAGCUAGUGGUUCUUGGGCUUAAAAGCUUGUUGGCUCCAAAAUGUGAUAAAAAAAAAUGACCUUUUUGGCAAAACUCAAAGCAAAAAAUUCCCUGAGUUGUUCUUGGCCGUCUAUCUCAUCUGUCGUCAUUUGGAUCCACCCCCACCCCGGGCCACACAGCUACCAUUCCCUAAAGUGAAGCCUGGUCCUUUCCGGGGAAGGAUGCCGCUGCACAGGGCUCCUCCUUGUUGAUGUGCUGGAGACCGAGCCGGGGAAAUGGAGGGAAAGUCAGGAGCUGAGGGAAGUAACGCCAACCCCAGGUCUCUGUUCAGAACUAGAAAAUGUAAGCAAAGAGGCAGCUUAUGUCACAUCCCAUUAUUUUUUCUGUCUUACCUGCUGGGGCCUCCCGGCUUUUUCCCCUCCAUGCAUAGCAAGGUCCCGGCGUGUACUUUCAGCACAAGCUUUCCUUACACAAGUGAUUCUCCAUCUUAGCAUGCAUGAGCCUCACCAGUCCGGGCGCGGCCUGUCGGGGCCGCC